GGGGAUGAAAAAAAUUUAAAAUAAAAUUGCAGUGAUUUAAGUUAUUUUUAGUUAAGUGUAGGUGAUAAUUAAGGUGUUUUAUACGUGUAGUAGUUGCUCUUAUGUUUGCAUUAGCUAAAAAAAAAUUGGAAAGAUAUAAAGACCAAAAGGAAAAGUGAGGAGACCGUAAUCUCCUUCCACCAUCACAUACAAACGUUGAUUGAGUCCAUCGGAGUGCUGGAUUCAAAGCAGUGGCAUCAACAAGGAAUUCAGGUAAUCUUUUUUUUAUGCUAAGUAGAUUUUGUAUUAUUAUUUCACCUAAGAAAAUUCUUGUUUUUGCUCAUUAUUGACGGAGAUCGAGAGGCUGAGAGAGAAAUCAAAAUUUGUGUUUACAGGAGCGAAAAAAUUGUGUUGGAUUGAGUUUUGGAUGACUUUCAUCAAGUCUCACAAACACUAUGAAAUUCAAUCAAAAGAAGACUUCUUCAACUCUAUUAUAUCAGACAUCUUCUUUAAGUACUCAUAAAAACAUAAUUUUCUUCUUCUUUUUAAAUAAUAAAUGGUGUAAAUUAAACUGUUUUUUGUGUAAUUUCUUUUUCGAACUGAUUGGGCUCACAGGUAGCUAAUACCACUACUAAAGAAAAGAAAAAAUAAUCAUAUCCAAAUUCAAUUUUAGUCAUCUGCUUCGAGCAAACUUCUUAAUUAUUGAACCUCUUUUAUAUAUAUACUUAUAAGAUAGUUUUUAUAGUGUACUAAGAAAAAAAAAUACAUUAUAAUGUUAUUGAAGCAUUCUGGAG
rnacentral:lncRNA from 1 species